GGCGGCGCUAAGAGAGCUGAGGGAGCAGGCGCCGCCGCGCAGAAGACCCCGGGCUCGCACAGCCUGCUGGGCCGCGGGGAAGCCGCCCGUCCCUCCCUCCGCCCGGUCGCCCAGGUAACGGGGGGUCCCGGCCGCUCUCGGGCCCGACGCUCGCCCUUCGACCUUUGCCCUUUGACCCGCACCUUCCGGGUUUGCCCGGCUCACACACGGCCUGUGAACCCGAGCCGCUGGUGUAGUCAUUGCUCUCCGCACCAGCCGCCCGGGAGAGUGGGAGUUCCAGGCCAGCCUGGUCCGCGGAGUGCAGUGUGACCAGCUGCCUCAAGUUCCUGCUAUCCCAGCUUGGUGAACUCGAAUUUUGAGCCAAAUAAACCCAUCUUCCCCCAAGUUGCUUUUGUUGGGGAAUUUUAUCAAGGAAACAGGAUGCCCCUCCAUUAUGCUUAUCAAGAGGACACAACUUGUCCUACAAGAUUGAAUAACAGCUUUGUCAUCUCUGUUCUGAGGGGCCUCAUCCAAGAUCUCAGAGACCACUGUGCAUGCAAAUCUAUUGUUUCCCAUCUGAACCCCAAACCACCUGUGGCCAGUAUAAAUCCUGGAAUAGAGGAGGCUUAAAAAAAACGAAAAAUUAACCAAGACCCAGUAAGGCUUCUUAUGGAGACUAAUGCAGAGAUUUGUAGUGAUCCCUGAAGUAUCCAACCAUCAAACACCCCCAGCUCUGAGGCUGAGCCUGCCUAUCUUGGGGAAGCCAUCCUGGGAGUAUGGAGAGAGGCCCUAGGCAAGUGUGUGACAACAGUAAUAGAGAGGGUGGUGUAGGGUUAGCAUGGACAAUCCUAGCCACUCCCAUCACUGUGUGAGGGUGUUGUGUGGGGACUCCUCUCAGUGAUAGGGGGUUUAUCCAGCUAGCACAAGGCCAUGAGUUCAGUCCCCAGCAUGGGGGAGGGGUAGAUCAAGAGAGGUCACACUGUGAAGAUGUCUCUGUUUUACCUCACCUACCCAAGGCACCUCUGAUUGGUCUAAUAUAGAGCUGAAUGGCCAGUAGCUAUGCAGGUGGGACUUUGGGAAGACAGAGGAACUUAGGAAAAGAAUCAGAAAGGCAAAGAUGCAACAGCCAGACAGAAGAAAUCCAUUGUAAAGUGCUGAGGGUUGGUACCAAGCCAAGUGGCAGAACAUUGAUUAAUAUAAAGGGAGUAAUUUAGGUUUUAAGAGCUAGUUGAGAACAAUGCUAAGACCAAGCAUUCACACUUAGUAAGAAGUCUCCGUGUCAUUAUUCCGAAGCUAGUAGUCCAAAGAAAGACCUGCUGCAGAGAGAUGAGCCUGCCCCUGCUCUGGGCAGCCCCCAGCCCCUGAGUGCUUGGGCUCACACUUUCCUUGCACAGCCCCUGAGUGCUUGGGCUCACACUUUCCUUGCACAAUCUGCUGCUGCUGUCAGUUUCCAUUAACAGUUGGUGCCUCUCAGGUGAGGGAUCUGUGCUUGGGGCUCACAGUGCUGUUCCUGGAGGGCUCUGGGCUACUCUGCUGUGUCAGGUCCAGACUGUCUUGUCGUCCUCUUUUAAAUUAGCGUCGGUUGGCUCAGUUCACUGCAGGGUCCCCAGAACCCAAGGCAGCAGCAGGCUGUCCUCCAGGAGAUCCAGUGCACUGACAUGGGCGGCCCACCAGAGAGCAGUACACGACCACACGAGCAGCACAGAGCCUGCAAACUCCAAGGUGGGCAUUGGAGGGUGUCAGGUCAGACAUUUUGUGAGUGAAUCUUGUCUUGGGGAUUAGUUGGGGCAGUUUGAAAUCUAUGACUAUAGGCCAGGUGUUAGUGGUGCACGCCUUUAAUCCCAGCACUCAGGAGGCAGAGGCAGGUGGAUCUCUGUGAGUUCGAGGCCAGCCUGGUCUACAGAGAGAGUUCCCGGACAGGCUCCAAAGCUACACAGAGAAACCCUGUCUCAACAACAACAAACCCCUAUCCCCCCAAAAAGGAAAGAAAUCUAUGACUAUAGAAGAUUUAGUAAAGAUUUCUACAAAGAAAAAUAAGGGGGAGUUUCUUUGUAACAAUCAGAAGCUAAAAGAUUAAAGGGAAAAAAUGGCUGAGCCAAGAGUGGUGCAAGAAGUUGAGGAUUCCAAGUUCAAGGCCAGCCUGGACAACAUGGUGAUACACUGUCUCAGAAACGAGAGGAGGUGCUCAGCCCACCUUCCCAGUACCUGCGGUGCCUGCCCCUCAUCAGGAGGCCUCUCUACAGCAAAUGGAGGCCAUCACAGAAAACCAUAACUAGACACAAAAGCAGAGAUGAACAGAUCAUAGGAUACGUGGAUACGUCUCCUUCACCUUCACAACUCCUUCACCUGUGGCUCAGGAAACAUUGAAGAAGAGGGAGCAGAAAGAUUGUAGGAGUCAGAAUACCAAGACGUUCCCCGUGAAUCAUCUCUCCUAGAAAUGGCUUGUAAAGAGGAAGUGUCCAGUGGCAGUAUCAGUGGACAUGGUCACAGGGAAGAGAGAGAGAGUGGGCAUGCUCACAGGGAAGAGAGAACGUUUCUCUGAGCACUACCUCUAGACAAAGAACUACAGGCCAUUAAUGGCUGCUGGGAGGAAAGUAAGCCCUUAUUGGUUGUCCAGUGCAGAGGGGUCGUCCUUGCAGCCAUUUACACACAAACAACAGAAAGACACUCAGAGAUGGUAUUUAUAUGUAUUUGUGCAUGCACAUAAGUCUGUGUGUGUAAAUGGAGGUUUUUUUUUGUCCCACCUACAAGUUCCCAAAUUCUCUUCAGCUUAAUAUGAAUUACAGUUGCUUGGCCAAUGGUCCAGGCAUAUUACUGACUAGCUCUCACUCUUUCCAUUAGUCUGUAUUUUACCACAAGGCUCCUGGCUUGUUACCUCACUUCUUGCUUCCCCGGCAGCUACAUGGCAUCUCCUUGACUCUGCCUUCUUUCUCUCCCCAUCUUUGUUUGAAUUUCCCAUCUGGCUCUAUUCUGCCUGGCCAUUGGCCAAAUCAGCUUUAUUUAUCAACCAAUAAAAGCAUCACAUUUGCAGCAUUACAGCAGGCCAUCAUAUAUAUAUAUAUAUAUAUAUAUAAUAUAUAUAUAUAUAUUCAAAGAAAAGGGGGCUAUCAACUUGAAAUUGGGGGCAUGGGAAAGGGAGAAAGUGGUAUAAUUCUAUUUCAAUUCAAAAUAUUUUUUAAAGAGUUGGGCAGUGGUGGCACAUGGGAGGCAGAAGUGAAUUCGAGGCCACCAGAGUGAGUUCCAGGACAGCUGUGGCUACACAGAGACACCCUGUCUGGAAAAAGAAAAUUAAGACUGUAAAACUUAAGACUGUAAAAAUGGUAAUUGCUCAAUAAAUGACCUGAGGAAAGUGUGCUGGGGAGAUAAGUUGUAAUGACAGUGACUGCAGGUGCUGCUAAAAGGACAGAAUUGAGACUAGGGCUGAAUGUGAACAGCAGCUAUGGAAGACAAGAUGGGAAGAACUGGGCUGGAAACCCCCCACAUGCCAUUAGAGCCUCACAUGUGAACAGGGAGAGUUCCAGACUUGCACACAAGAACACAAGUCAAGCAGUUUAACACGGGAUAACUUAGCCUUUCAUAAAUCAUACAUGUUUUGUUAUCUAUAAUAAAACGUUUCAACAAA
ensembl:lncRNA